GCAAAAAUACGCAUUUAUUAAGAUUUUUCAAUGGCGGUGGCCAACAAUGGCAAUGAAAUUUUUUUUUUUUAUGAAAUUUUUAUUUUUGAAUAUACUUAAUUUUAUUUUGAAAUUUUAAUAGCAAAAUGUCCCAAAAUAUUAAUAAAAUUUUUCUUAUAUUUUCUUUUCAGGAAUUGACGACGGAUGCUGCAGAUUCUGGUGGAAUAUUGGAAUGUGGCUACAGUUAGCUAUUGGGUAGGUGCUGAUGUAAUUUCUGGAGUUGGACAUGUGCAAGAUUAAACUUCUAGAGGAUCUUGAACUUCAAACUGGCCUUAGAUUUCGUUUAGGAUCCAACACUAAUCCAACACCUGAGGAAAGUGAAGUGGAAGAUCGAGAACCUAGUGAAAGGUCAGGUUAUUAAGACUUCAAGUGUCCCUGAGAAGGACGAACUGAAGGGGCGAAACUCCACUAAGAAGCCAAAUUCAGUGUAAUUCAUGGGACUUGG